rnacentral:rRNA from 1 species
AUGGAUCGUACCUAUAGGUACAUACGAGAUCUACACAUACACUCAAGGCUUCCAUGGGUUAUCAUUGGUGACUUUAAUGAAAUCUUACUGUCUUCUGAAAAGGAGGGAGGGGUACCACGACAACACUCCCGACUAGUUGCAUUCCAAAAUGCUCUUUCUGACUGCUCCUUGGAGGACAUGGGGUAUGUUGGAGAUAAGUUCACUCGGUUUAGUGGUGGACUGAAGGAACGCUUGGACAGGGCUGUUACAAACGCUGAAUGGAUGGGUAUGCACCCGUAUGCAGGUUUGUGUAACUUGGAGAUGGGGAAAUCUGACCAUAGACCCAUCUUGCUAGACACUGAAUAUCUCUCUGGAGUUGUGGAGAACAGGCCCAAGUUCAAGCGCCAGUUUGAGGCCAGAUGGCUAGAAGAGGAAACCGUCGAAGAAGUUGUAAGGACAGCUUGGCAAAAGGCUAUGCAGCAAGGCUUGCACCCAUCUGUGAAAGGAAAAAUUGAUUCAGUCCAUUGUGACUUGCAUGCCUGGUAUAGAAAGACUCUGAAAGGGCCUAGAGCCCGACUUAACAAAGCUCAGAAGGAGUUGGAGGCACUCAUGCAGGCACCAUAUAUGGAGGAGGGCAGGGCGAAGCAGAAAGAACUCUCGGUCCUCAUUGAAAAUCUGCAGGACCAGGAAGAAAUCUUCUGGGCCCAGCGAGGUAGGGUUCGAUGGCUUCGGAAAGGUGACCGUAAUACAAAUUAUUUCAACCAAUUUGCUUCAGCAAGGAAGAGAAGGAAUGUGAUAAAAAAAACUCCGUAA